rnacentral:rRNA from 1 species
AUCGAACGCUGGCGGCAUGCUUUACACAUGCAAGUCGAACGGUAACAGGCCGCAAGGUGCUGACGAGUGGCGAACGGGUGAGUAAUGCAUCGGAACGUGCCCAGUCGUGGGGGAUAACGCAGCGAAAGCUGUGCUAAUACCGCAUACGAUCUGUGGAUGAAAGCGGGGGACCGUAAGGCCUCGCGCGAUUGGAGCGGCCGAUGUCAGAUUAGGUAGUUGGUGGGGUAAAGGCCUACCAAGCCGACGAUCUGUAGCUGGUCUGAGAGGACGACCAGCCACACUGGGGCUGAGACACGGCCCAGACUCCUACGGGAGGCAGCAGUGGGGAAUUUUGGACAAUGGGCGCAAGCCUGAUCCAGCAAUGCCGCGUGCAGGAAGAAGGCCUUCGGGUUGUAAACUGCUUUUGUACGGAACGAAACGGUCUGGGUUAAUACCCUGGGCUAAUGACGGUACCGUAAGAAUAAGCACCGGCUAACUACGUGCCAGCCGCCGCAGUAAAAC